UGCAGUCGAACGAUGAAGCCCAGCUUGCUGGGUGGAUUAGUGGCGAACGGGUGAGUAACACGUGAGUAACCUGCCCUUAACUCUGGGAUAAGCCUGGGAAACUGGGUCUAAUACCGGAUAGGAGCGUCCACCGCAUGGUGGGUGUUGGAAAGAUUUAUCGGUUUUGGAUGGACUCGCGGCCUAUCAGCUUGUUGGUGAGGUAAUGGCUCACCAAGGCGACGACGGGUAGCCGGCCUGAGAGGGUGACCGGCCACACUGGGACUGAGACACGGCCCAGACUCCUACGGGAGGCAGCAGUGGGGAAUAUUGCACAAUGGGCGCAAGCCUGAUGCAGCGACGCCGCGUGAGGGAUGACGGCCUUCGGGUUGUAAACCUCUUUCAGUAGGGAAGAAGCGAAAGUGACGGUACCUGCAGAAGAAGCACCGGCUAACUACGUGCCAGCAGCCGCGGUAAUACGUAGGGUGCGAGCGUUAUCCGGAAUUAUUGGGCGUAAAGAGCUCGUAGGCGGUUUGUCGCGUCUGUCGUGAAAGUCCGGGGCUUAACCCCGGAUCUGCGGUGGGUACGGGCAGACUAGAGUGCAGUAGGGGAGACUGGAAUUCCUGGUGUAGCGGUGGAAUGCGCAGAUAUCAGGAGGAACACCGAUGGCGAAGGCAGGUCUCUGGGCUGUAACUGACGCUGAGGAGCGAAAGCAUGGGGAGCGAACAGGAUUAGAUACCCUGGUAGUCCAUGCCGUAAACGUUGGGCACUAGGUGUGGGGACCAUUCCACGGUUUCCGCGCCGCAGCUAACGCAUUAAGUGCCCCGCCUGGGGAGUACGGCCGCAAGGCUAAAACUCAAAGGAAUUGACGGGGGCCCGCACAAGCGGCGGAGCAUGCGGAUUAAUUCGAUGCAACGCGAAGAACCUUACCAAGGCUUGACAUGUUCUCGAUCGCCGUAGAGAUACGGUUUCCCCUUUGGGGCGGGUUCACAGGUGGUGCAUGGUUGUCGUCAGCUCGUGUCGUGAGAUGUUGGGUUAAGUCCCGCAACGAGCGCAACCCUCGUUCCAUGUUGCCAGCACGUMRUGGUGGGGACUCAUGGRAGACUGCCGGGGUCAACUCGGAGGAAGGUGAGGACGACGUCAAAUCAUCAUGCCCCUUAUGUCUUGGGCUUCACGCAUGCUACAAUGGCCGGUACAAUGGGUUGCGAUACUGUGAGGUGGAGCUAAUCCCAAAAAGCCGGUCUCAGUUCGGAUUGGGGUCUGCAACUCGACCCCAUGAAGUCGGAGUCGCUAGUAAUCGCAGAUCAGCAA
rnacentral:rRNA from 1 species